AAAAAGGGCUUCUGUCUUGAGUGUCAUACGUCGGGCAACUCGUUUGCUCUGUGUACAGAAUCGACAUCAAGAGAUUUAGGAAGCAUAAUUUUUUGAUGCCUGGGCAGCUGGUGAUCAUUGGUUCUGGGGCCCCU
rnacentral:snRNA from 1 species